rnacentral:rRNA from 1 species
UACAGGGGGCUCGAGCGUUAGUCAGAAUCACUGGGCUUAAAGGGUGCGUAGGCGGUCCGCCAAGUGCUUUGUGAAAUCCCCGAGCUCAACUCGGGAACUGCAGGGCAAACUGGAGGACUUGAAGCAGGUAGGGGCUGGAAGAACAGUAGGUGGAGCGGUGAAAUGCGUAGAUAUCGGGAGGAACACCAGUGGCGAAGGCGGCUCACUGGACCACAACUGACGCUGAGGCGCGAAAGCUAGGGGAGCAAACAGG